CCUUAUGGAGGGGGAUAACAGAGAGAAAUCACUGCUAAUACCGCAUAAGCACACAGUACCGCAUGGUACAGGGUGAAAAGAUUUAUCACCAUAAGAUGGACCCGCGUCUGAUUAGCCAGUUGGCAGGGUAAAAGCCUACCAAAGCAACGAUCAGUAGCCGAUCUGAGAGGAUGACCGGCCACAUUGGGACUGAGACACGGCCCAAACUCCUACGGGAGGCAGCAGUGGGGAAUAUUGCACAAUGGGGGAAACCCUGAUGCAGCGACGCCGCGUGAGUGAAGAAGUAUUUCGGUAUGUAAAGCUCUAUCAGCAGGGAAGAUAAUGACAGUACCUGACUAAGAAGCCCCGGCUAACUACGUGCCAGCAGCCGCGGUAAUACGUAGGGGGCAAGCGUUAUCCGGAUUUACUGGGUGUAAAGGGAGCGUAGACGGAGUGGCAAGUCUGAAGUGAAAACCCUGGGCUUAACCUAGGGACUGCUUUGGAAACUGUUAAUCUAGAGUGUUGGAGAGGUAAGUGGAAUUCCUGGUGUAGCGGUGAAAUGCGU
rnacentral:rRNA from 1 species